CCUGACUGUUAGCGUAAAGAUUAAUCAUGAUGACUGGCAACUCAGGGGUGAAAGGCAGUUGAGCUCAUUUAAUUAGAACUAACCCCACUUGGGAUUAAAUAUAUUCAAAUUUCCAACCUCAGCUCUAAGUCAAGUUUUUGUUCACAUUCUUCUCUGAACCCUUUUUAACUUUUAUCUGAAGGGAAUGAUUUUUUUUUAAUGAUGGGAAGGAUGGGCAAAUCACAAUUAUGUGGUCCUAACUAAGAUUAGCUUAGCAGCUAGGUCAUUGGAAGACUGAGCAAAAGAGCAUAGAGAAGAUACAAAGUCAAGGUCAAGAGAAAGAUACUUUCUUUGAUCUCUAAAGGCAAGCAAAACAGCCUGGCUGAAUAUUGGGCGUGCUUACUAGGAGCAGCAAGACAAAAGGAAGCUGUGGCUUUUAGGAAUUGUUGCCAGUGUGACUUUAUAUAUCAGCGGAGAAGGAACACAAAUAAUGUCUAGAGGGUCAGGACAAGUCAGUAUUAAACAGAU
rnacentral:lncRNA from 1 species